CAACUCAUGAGCUACUAUGAUUUACUACAAAUAGAGUCUGAAAAGAAAAAAUACACUGUUUUGGAGUAAGGAAACAGUAAAUGAUAAAACUAGGAAGAGACUCCAAGGUCUGCGGACGUCAGCAGAUCUACCUUGGGUCUCCUGACAGCAAAUCCAAGCUGCUAAGCCUCACGAUCAGCUAAGACCGGUACCAAAAUCUGCACAAGAAGUGCAAAGUGCAGUAUCAGUACAACCGACCCCGUGUACUGGUAAGUGUCGAGCCUAACCUCGACGAAGUAGUGACGAGGCUAUGACAAGACACUCACAUAAUAAACCUGUGCAGAUAACAGUAUAUGUACAAGAAAACAACAGUACCAGCUAAACAUGUACUAUUGGGAGGGGGAACAUGCUAAAGGGGCACAGGAUAUAGGACAUAUAGUGAAAAUGAUAACCAGAACAGUCAACAUGCUUUUAACCAGUGAAAACAACUAAACACAAUGAAAACAAUUGCACGGCAUCACCCUUCGUGCUUUUACUCUCAACCUCACAAUAUAAAUCAAUAGAUACGACACGACAUCACCCUUCAUACGUUAGCUCUCAUAACGUGGCAUGGCAUCAUCUUUCGUGCAUUAACACUCAUAAUAUGGCACGACAUCACCCUUCGUGCAUUAACACUCACAAUAUGGCACGGCAUCACCCUUCGUGCAUUAACAUUCUCCCUUACCAUAAUGCAAUGAACAAAUAACAACAGAGAGAUAGAAUAACAAGUACAAACCUUACUUCAACAUUUGGUUCCACAAUACCAACAUCAGCUUCGAAAUCAAUACUCAGUUAUCACCAAAAAAUCCGUAUACAUGAUAAGAACGAUCACUUUAACAAUACUAGUCUAAACAUGGAUAACAUGAACAAAGGAAGCUAUAAUUGCAAGAAAUUAAGCCCCAACCCGCAUGCUUUAACCUGACUAUAACGCAUAAGUACUCGUCACCUCACAUAUACAUUGUUCCCCAGCAUCUAAACAUAUAGCAAAUAGACAAAACAAGUCAUAUUCCCUCAAGUCAGGGUCAGACACAACACUUACCUCGCUCCAAAGGCCACUCAAUGCUCAAUUUCCGCUUUUCCUCUAGAAUUCACCUCCGAAACACUCGUAUCUAUCCACAAACGACUCAAUAAUAUCAAAAAUUGCUAAAUAAAUCAACUACAAUGCAUAAAUUUAGAUUCCCCAAACUCUCCCCCCAAAAGUCAAAAAUCGACCCCGGGCUCGCUUGGUCAAAACCCGAGGUUCGGACUUCGAAAUCCCUAGUUUCUACCCAAAAACCCUCAAUUCUACCAUGAACACUCUAGAUUUUAGGUUGAAACUUCAUGAAAUACAAUGGGUAAUUGAAAGAAAGUAGUUUGGAAUUACUUACCUACAAAUCGGGGAAGAAAAUGUCUCUUGAGAAUCGCCUCUAAGUCUUCUAGUUUUGAAUUUUUUUGAAAGAAUGGCAAAUUCCCGUGUUUGAUUCUGUUUUAAGUAGAAGCGUCAGGCAUUCUUCGUGUUCGCGAAGGGCCUGCCGCGUUUGCGAAAGGCAGCGGCCCAAAAGGCCUACGCGUUCGCGAGUCCUACUAUGCAUUCGCGAAGGCUGCUCCCCCCUGGCCUUCGCGUUCGCGAGCCAGUGCUCGCGUUCGCGUAGAAGAAUGGUUGUCCCCUCCCCCAGGUCCCCUAACGCUACGCGUUCGCGAGAUGCCGGUCGCGUUCGCGAAGGGUAAAACCCCCACUGCUCGGCGUUCACGAUCAAGCUUACGUGUUCGUGAAGAAUAAAACCGACACAGCUCCAUUUCACUCUUCGCGUUUGCGAGAGUACCUUCGCGAACGCGAAUAAGAAAGCCAGAAAACACUGAAGCUGAAGAAAACCAGAUUUUUUUCUAAGUUCAAUUCACACCGUAGCCUAUCUGAAACUCACCUGAGCCCUCAAGGCUCCAAACCAAACAUGUACACAAGUCCUAAAACAUCAUACGAACUUGCUCGCGCGAUCAAAUCGCCAAAAUAACACCUAGAACUACGAAUUUUGCACCAAAUCGAAUGAAAUUAUAAAAAAAGCUUUAAAACCUCUAUUUUCACACCCGGACGUCCGAAUCGCGUCAAACCAAUUUCGUUUCUCACCGAAUUUCACAAACAAGUCUUAAAUAUCAUAAUGAACAUGUACCGGGCUCAGGUACCAAAAUACGGGUCCGAUACCAACAAGAUCAAACAUUAAUCAAAUUCUUAAAACCAUUAGAUUUUCAGUCUUUAAAUUUUCAACAAAAAUUCAUAUCUCGAGCUAGGGACCUCGGAAAUCGAUUCCGGGCAUACGCCAAGGUCCCAUAUUUCGAUACGGACCCACUGAGACUGUCAAAACACGAGUCUGGGUCCGUUUAUCAAAAAUAUUGACCGAAAUAAACUCAAAUGAGGUUUUUAAGCAAAAUUCCUUAUUUUCAUCAACUUUCAACAUAAAAGCUUUUCAGAAACACGCCCGGACUGUGCACGCAAAUCGAGGAGGAAUAAAAUGAGGUUUUAAAAGUUUCGGAACAGAGAAUCGAGUUCUAAAACAUAAGAUGACCAUUUGGGUCAUCACAGAAAUCCGUAAAAAGGCUAGAAGGGGCUUCGGCAAACACAUAGAUCGGAUCUCAAAACAUUGUAUAUGCCGCACAAGGAGAUUCAACACGACAAUAUGAGCAAAAACGAAUAAACUAGAGAAAAUCAAAUAUUUCGACACACUCUUCUCGUAAUAAAACUACACGAGUGCCCAAAUUGGUUGGCGGAGGAGGAUUCAAGAGAUUGAGAGAGGGAUUUUACAAUUUGAAAACUAUAAAGGCUUAGAAUCUAGGAGUAAAGGUGAUACAAAGGGACGUGGGUGGGUUUGCAUAAAAAAUUGAAGCUUUAAUUUUCUGGGUUAUGCCCAUUACAUAUAUUCAUUUCAGAACAGAAGGUUCUUUAGAAUUAUUUAUUACUAGUUUUUGGAUACUUCCUAUGAAAGAACAAGGAUGCCUAAAGCAACCUAGGAACAGAUAAAGAAUACAAAGCCAAAUAUGUAAAAAUAAAAGUAGAAAAAUUAGAAUGAUCUCUACAACUUACCUAGCUGAAAAAUAAAUGAAGAUUCCAGUUGGGUCUUGCCAGAGGUGUGGCUUUGUCGGAGGUGGGUGCUUCACCGGGCUAUUGUUCCGAUGCGGGUUUAGGAACUGAGCGAAUAUGUGAAGAGAUGCGCAUAACUGGGUUAAUUUGUUAUGUUCCAUGUCUUCAGAUUUUGAAUCAUAAGAGAGAGUACGGUUAAGAAACUUUAAAAGAAAAUCGGGCAGGUUUAGUGAAAAAAGAAGAGGGAAACAAAGGG
rnacentral:lncRNA from 1 species